CCUUUGCAAUACACGAAAGUGUGACAGGGUCAUCCCGAGUGCCGACCGCUGAGGUUGGCUUUUACCCAGUCUAGAAAGCUGGGGGAAUAAGGAGAGGGCAAGUCUGGUGUCAGCCGCCGCGGUAAUACCAGCUCUCCGAGUGGUGUGGACGUUUAUUGGGCCUAAAGCAUCCGUAGCUGGCUGAACAAGUCCCCUGUUAAACCCACCGAUUUAAUCGUUGGUCUGCGGGGGAUACUGCUCGGCUAGGGGACGAGAGAGGCAGACGGUAUUCCCGGGGUAGGGGUGAAAUCCUAUAAUCCCGAGAAGACCGCCAGUGGCGAAGGCUGUCUGCUAGAACGCGCCCGACGGUGAGGGAUGAAAGCUGGGGGAGCGAACCGG
rnacentral:rRNA from 1 species